UGGGGGGAACCCUGACCGAGCAACGCCGCGUGGGUGAAGAAGGUUUUCGGAUCGUAAAGCUCUGUUGUUAAGGAAGAACGAGUGUGAGAAUGGAAAGUUCAUACUGUGACGGUACUUAACCAGAAAGGGACGGCUAACUACGUGCCAGCAGCCGCGGUAAUACGUAGGUCCCGAGCGUUGUCCGGAUUUAUUGGGCGUAAAGCGAGCGCAGGCGGUUAGAAAAGUCUGAAGUGAAGGGCAGUGGCUCAACCAUUGUAGGCUUUGGAAACUGUUUAACUUGAGUGCAGAAGGGGAGAGUGGAAUUCCAUGUGUAGCGGUGAAAUGCGUAGAUAUAUGGAGGAACACCGGUGGCGAAAGCGGCUCUCUGGUCUGUAACUGACGCUGAGGCUCGAAAGCGUGGGGAGCGAACAGGAUUAGAUACCCUGGUAGCCCACGCCGUAAACGAUGAGUGCUAGGUGUUAGGUCCUUUCCGGGACUUAGUGCCGCAGCUAACGCAUUAAGCACUCCGCCUGGGGAGUACGACCGCAAGGUUGAAACUCAAAGGAAUUGACGGGGGCCCGCACAAGCGGUGGAGCAUGUGGUUUAAUUCGAAACAACGCGAAGAACCUUACCAGGUCUUGACAUCCCGAUGCUAUUUCUAGAGAUAGGAAGUUUCUUCGGAACAUCGGUGACAGGUGGUGCAUGGUUGUCGUCAGCUCGUGUCGUGAGAUGUUGG
rnacentral:rRNA from 1 species